AACAUUAAAACAUUGUUUCCCCUAAUCAGGAAAACUCAUUUCUCUGAUGAAUUGAAAAGCGCUCCUUUCUCUGAUGAACUGAAGAGAAAACAGUCUUCUCUGAUGAACACACUUUUCUCAGAAGCUAAGUCCAAAGAACUGAUCAAGCGAUGAAGCUAAGUCUCUCCGUCACAAAUGAACUGAAGAUAAGUAUCUCCGCAGGAUUUUUUCUCAUAUUUCUUGCUGAAGAACACGAUGACUCACAGGUUUCUCGCUGAAGAACGCGAUCUAUGUUAUAUUUCUCGGCGAAGAACACGAUUUUGUUGGAAUAGGGUUUAUUAGGCUAGAAAUUAUAUCUUUGAAAGUCUAAAUUUUAGCUUUAGGGUUUUGACAUUCUUGUGUUUUUAUCCAAUUUUUGAGAUUCUAGCUCGUAUUUUAGCUUUAUUAAUUGGAGAUUAAACCGAGUAACUAUAGGGUCUUGUUAAUCGAAUCAUAUCAAUUUCAUUCCAUAAAAUCAUUAGUUUUUUUAUAGCGAAACAGAAUUGUGGAGCAAAGCAUUGUCGUGUUUCUGAACCUUGUUUCUGUGGGUUAUAGUGUAAAUUUUACUUUGGCUUGGAAUGAUAUUAUGUUGAGUAGAUAGGUCUGCAUAUUGUUAAGCUAAUUUAUAUCUGAUAAUAUCUUUAUAUGUAUUAUUCUAUGGCAGAUGGAUCUGAUAGCUAAGUUAACCAUAAAAAUAUCGUGGAUUACAAGGACAUUUUGGUAGAGAAGGUAUUAUGUUAUUUAGUUAAUAGAACAUGAUUUGGAACUGAAAUGAUUAUCCUUGACUUGAGAAAACUUCAAUAUCGAGUUGCCUCAAAACAUGAUUAAUUUUGUUUUUCUUUAAGGGGAACUGGAUAUGCAGCGUUACCAACUAUUGUAAAGGUGGAGAUAUGAGAGUGUUUAUCCUAAGCUUGCAAGCAUUUCUAUACUUGUUGACAUAUGAACUUGUUCUAUUUCUAAUUACUUAUAUUAAUGGGGACACUUCGGUAGUUUAGCCUGAUUCCUCCAGGUGCUGGUGGGAUAUUUACACAUUCUUUUGCUAGUGUUGCAUUCUGGUUAAAGGUUUCUUUUCAUUCACCCUUCUUUGAGAUAAACUAUCUAAUUAUUGAAGUAAAGUUCACUGAAUUUGUAUUUAUUCCCCAUAAGUUAAUUUUGUAUACUGAUGUCAGGUUAGGGAGGUUGGCCAGUAUGGUGAUGGAAUUUAAUCCCUCAUUAAUAAUGUUGAGAGUUUCUUUGCUUAGGGAAAACUAUAAGAAGUUUGUGAUGCCCUUGAGAAUGGUUUAAAGGACACUCAUGCAGCAACAAUCAUUGAUGAUUGUGUUAUGCGUGCUAGGAACACAGCUAUAACCGAGCAAACACUAACCUUGCUGCAAGCUUAUGCAGCAGUAUUAGCACUUGAAACAAUGAUCAAUUAUAGCAAUCAAAUGUCCAGUUUACACUACUUCUGCUGUCGUUUGUAUGUAUGCCCUGGUGGAGAUUUAAGUUUUUCAAUCAGUUACUUGUUAUCUCGUCUGAUGAACGCAACUUUUUAAAUCAAGGAGAUCUGAUGUGUAAGUUGUCUGUUAGUUUUUUUCAGCUCAAAUUAGACUGAGAAUAAUAAUGUGAACCAGAACAAGGAUCACAAGCAAAAAAAUGAAUACAACACAUUGUUUCCUAACAGAAGUACAAGAUGAGACAAAGACCGACAAUGCUGUGUUACCAAGUUUUUCAAGAAUUUCUAGCACUAUAUUAUAGCAUUUUGCAGCAGCUAUAUAAAUUGAUCUUAUAACUUGUGCACUGAUUUAAUAACCUGCAGACACACAAUCCUAGAAGGAAACCUGGAGCCACAACUACGCACACAAAUCAGCAACCAAAUCAGGAGAAGACAAAUGAAAGUUUUGCUAGCAUAAGAAGUAAAUUGAGCCACUUCCCCAAGGUCAUAAUUAACAAGACCUGAUCUCUUUAAUCUUCUCCUGAUUUGGUUGUUGAUUUUUGUGUGUAGUUGUGUCUCCAGCUUCCCUGCUAGGAUCUUGUAUUGGUUAUAGGAUCAAUUUAUUCGUUCUUUUUUCUGGCCUAAAUAAAUACCUGAUAUCUGCUAUUUUCUAUACAGAAAAGAAAGAAUGUUUAUCCUAGAAUUGCGUAGUUUAGAGGCUUUUUUUUUUUAUUCUUUUCUUGACUGAGCCUUGAUGAUUAUCCUUCCCUACUUUGUUUUCAUUUAUUUACUGAAAAGUUUUGUUCUGUCCCAUGGUAUUGACAUUUUUUUCCUUUUCUUAUAAGGUUAUGCAUGAUAAUUUUUACCACAUGCAUCAGAUAGAGAAGGUAAUGAUCUUUUACCAUCAUAUUGCCCCCCACCCCCUACCCCCCCACUCCCACCCCGUUAGUUUUAUCACCAACAUAUCUUGUGAAUUUCUUGUUACAUAGUAUACAAAUUGAGUUUUUUUGUUCUUUGUCUGCAAUGCUAGUACGAUCAUCUAGAGUUUCCUAGAGUUGAACCUUGCACAUUUAUCGAUAAGUUUUCUACUUCAUCUAAACUUAUCAAGAGAUUGUAGUACUUAUUUUUACCAUGUGAGAUGAUUCAGCACGAAUGCCCAAUUUGAUAUAGUUUGUUAACAUGGAAGAAGAAAUGUUAAGCGUAGAGCUGGAGAGCAAGAAGAAGAAGCUUGAUUCUUGGGGCAGAGAACUGAAUAAACGUGAAGCCUUAACUGAGCGAGAAAAGAAAAAGCUUGAAGAGGAGAAAAAACAGGUAUCAAAUUCCAGCAUGAGUUAAAACUAUAUAUAAAUAUUUCUCUUAUCAUGAUAAAGCCGUGGUGGAUUACAUUAUUUUGGCGCUCCAUUUUGCCUAUAUUAUGUGGAUACUGGGUAGGAUGUAACUAUCAAGCUUCUGGACCCCUAACUCUUUCGAACUAUAAAGUGUUGAGCUUUAUUUUGUUGAUUCAAAAUGAUGUGAGAAAUUUAGCACUUCAAAUGGCCUCUGUGGAAAAAAGAAUGGCUUAUGGGAAUGUCUUAAAGACUUGUCGAAAAACAAAAGGUAUAUUUCAAUGGUAUUGUUUCAUUUAAAGUUAGCGAUUUCCCUCUUUCAGCUGACAAGAACUUUAAUUUUGUACGUUGUUGCUGGCAGUUUCUGUAUAUAACAGAUUUUGUGUUAUGGGCUACUUAUAACAUCAUCAGCUAUGAUUCAAGUUCUUUAAGUUGCUUGUUAUAAAGCUUCUAUAUUAAUUGAUUUAAGCAUGCUAUGUGUACCAUACUCAGAUAUGAUUCAAGUCCUCUUAGUUGCUUGCGUCGUAGUUUCUGUGUGUUAACUGCUUUUUUACAUGCAAUGUAGGCUAUUGUUAACAUCUUCGAUUGUGAUUCAAUUCCAUUAAAUUGUUUGUGUAAGCUUUUGCUUGACUUGCCUUGAUAUUUAUUAGUAUUAUCAAGUAUGUAUAAUCCUUAGAAUUAACUCUAAUUUUUUGUAAACUAAUCCUUGAUUGGUAAUAGAAAGUUCCACUAGUUGGCUAUGUUUUAUUUUGAAUGCCUUGUGUAGAGCUUCUUAGCUUUUUAAACUGUAUUGGUUAGUACUAUGACUACAUACUUCUUAUCAAGUAUUUGUUGCUUAUACAAUACCUCAACGACGACUCUUUACAUCUCAUGUUCCACUAUAGCUUUGAAAAUUAAAUCUAUGAAGCUUUAAACUUUUUGGUGUGAUCGACUAUCUAUUAAUAUUGCCCAUUGUAUUUCAAGUUUAUAGCUAUGUUUCACUAAACUAUAUGGAAUAACAAUCUGAGAUCAAUGACAAUAUGAGAGGUGUACUAAUAGACUGGAUCAUUGAGUUAAAUCUAAUAUUUGGAACUAAUCAGAAUUAAUUAAGGUAUACAUUCCAUUAUUAUGUUAAUUAACUUGCUUAUAAUGAUAUUCUAAUAAACCAGCAGGUACAUGACAAGUUAGAGCUCAAGCAAGAGACAUUAUUCCUUGCUGUUAAUUCGUUAGACAGAUUUCUGGAAAAACAAGUUGCCAAAAACAAGCUGCAGCUUGUUUGUCUUGUUACCUUUCUAAUAGCGAGCAAAUAUGAAGAAAUUUUGCCUCUUGUGCACGGAUUGUGAUUAUUUCAUAUGAAAUCUUCACAAGAAAAGACAUUCUUGAAAUGGAAAAUGCCAGUAAUUGAAUUUGAGUUGUGGACAAAAGUAAUCUCGAUCUAUUGUAGUGAACGAUGAAGAGUUUUUGUACUAUUAUUAUAUAUUAUUAAAUGCAUUUGAUUUUGUGGAAUUUAUUAAAACUAGUUGUACAAUACAUGUUUCUCGAAAUUUAUCUGAAAUAUAUCCUUUGAUUUAAUUAUCAGUUAA